rnacentral:tRNA from 1 species
CGGGAUGUAGCGCAGCUUGGUUAGCGCGCCUCGUUCGGGACGAGGAGGCCGGCGGUUCGAAUCCGCCCAUCCCGACCA